GACGAACGCUGGCGGCGUGCCUAAUACAUGCAAGUUGAGCGCUGAAGGUUGGUCCUUGUACCAACUGGCUGAGCAGCGAACGGGUGAGUAACGCGUGGGGAAUCUGCCUUUGAGCGGGGGACAACAUUUGGAAACGAAUGCUAAUACCGCAUAAAAACUUUAAACACAAGUUUUAAGUUUGAAAGAUGCAAUUGCAUCACUCAAAGAUGAUCCCGCGUUGUAUUAGCUAGUUGGUGAGGUAAAGGCUCACCAAGGCGAUGAUACAUAGCCGACCUGAGAGGGUGAUCGGCCACAUUGGGACUGAGACACGGCCCAAACGCCUACGGGAGGCAGCAGUAGGGAAUCGUCGGCAAUGGACGAAAGUCUGACCGAGCAACGCCGCGUGAGUGAAGAAGGUUUUCGGAUCGUAAAACUCGGUUGGUAGAGAAGAACGUUGGUGAGAGUGGAAAGCUCAUCAAGUGACGGUAACUACCCAGAAAGGGACGGCUAACUACGUG
rnacentral:rRNA from 1 species